rnacentral:rRNA from 1 species
ACUGUAGCGAAAGGGAUUAGAUACCCCUGUAGUCCUAGCAGUAAACGGUGCACGCUUGGUUGAGGGGAAUCGACCCCCCUUGUGCCGGAGCUUCAGCGUUAAGCAUGCCGCCUGGGAAGUAACGUCGCACUAAAACUCAAAGAAAUUGACGGGGACCCGCACAAGCGGUGGAGUGUGGCUUAAUUCGAUGCAACGCGCC